CUGGGGCGUCAGUGUCUCGAUGAAAAAGAGCCAAGAGAUGAAGUCAGGGCGGCUCAGCCGUCAAUCUUUACUCUGAAAUUAGGGAAGGCUCUGGGAUCCUCAUGUAGUCGCUCUGAUACAUGGGAAAGACACUGGUUUUGCCUGCUAGCCGUGCUGACCAAUUCUCUUCAUAUUUAUAUUGACUGUCGCUUUAAGAAGGAAGGCAAGAAGGCUUGAUUUGGACAGAGCUGUAAAGCAGACUGAUGUCGGGAGAAGACUCAGUGUAGAGUGGUGUUAGGGUGAAACUGACUAGUGUCUGUUUCCCCAUCAUCCCUCCCAUUGCCUCUGAUGACAUUUACCUGUCAAGCAGCAGAACCCAGAGGAUCCAUAAACUCUCGUGUAGGAAUGAUGGAGGGAAGGCACAGGACGGCUUCCUUAA